UCUCCGCGACUAUCUCCCUCCUUCUCUCUGAACCCUCCUCAGACCCCGCUGCCUCAGCCAGUUGGUCCUCAUUCAUCCGCCUGGCCCCCACCCACUGUGGGUGCCACCGAGAGAGAACCCCCUCCCCGGUUCGGGAGUUACUUUUUGUCGGGAAUCAUCAGUUCUUGCUUGCCACGUGAUUCAAGACUACAAGCAAUUCCCUAGUUGAUGUGUUCUUGAAUUAUGUUUGAAAGGGGAAUAUGGACAAGUCAAGCAAUAGAUUUACAUGUGAUUAUAAUAAAUGGGCGAAUGAUGACCAGUUUGUAUUUUACCUCUUGAUUAUUAAACUUUGUUUCAUUCUAAUGAAUGUUUGAUAAUGUGAAUAUCUCAAAUGUUCUUCUUCCUAUAAGAUAAGUAUUCUGCAUACAGGAAUAGAUGCUGUGGAUAUUAUAAGUAAACAGAUGGGUAGAAUCUUUGCUUUACAUUGAUUAAAUAAAAUAGAAAGAAACAA